UUCCUACGGGACGCAGCAGUGGGGAAUAUUGCACAAUGGGGGAAACCCUGAUGCAGCAACGCCGCGUGAAGGAAGACGGUUUUCGGAUUGUAAACUUCUGUUCUUAGUGAAGAAUAAUGACGGUAGCUAAGGAGCAAGCCACGGCUAACUACGUGCCAGCAGCCGCGGUAAUACGUAGGUGACAAGCGUUGUCCGGAUUUACUGGGUGUAAAGGGCGCGUAGGCGGGAUAGCAAGUCAGUCGUGAAAUGCCGAGGCUUAACCUCGGAGCUGCGAUUGAAACUGUUAUUCUUGAGUAUCGGAGAGG
rnacentral:rRNA from 1 species